UACGUAGGGGGCUAGCGUUGUCCGGAAUCAUUGGGCGUAAAGCGCGUGUAGGCGGCCCGGUAAGUCCGCUGUGAAAGUCGGGGGCUCAACCCUCGAAAGCCGGUGGAUACUGUCGGGCUAGAGUACGGAAGAGGCGAGUGGAAUUCCUGGUGUAGCGGUGAAAUGCGCAGAUAUCGGGAGGAACACCUAUGGCGAAGGCAGCUCGCUGGGACGUUACUGACGCUGAGACGCGAAAGCGUGGGGAGCAAACAGG
rnacentral:rRNA from 1 species